rnacentral:rRNA from 1 species
ACCCGCUGAAUUUAAGCAUAUAAGUAGGCGGUGGAAAAUGAACCAAAUGGGAUUCCUUAAGUAAUUGCGAAUGAACAAGGAAAUGCUCAGCUUGAAAAAUGGGGCCUUCGGCUUUGAAUUGUAAUUUUGAAAUGUAUUGCCAAUGGAGGCGCAGGUGCAAGCCUAUUGAAAGAAAGCGUCAAUGAGGGUGAGAUUCCUUUUUGUCAUUUGCAGUCCUCCGUGCACGGUAUAUAUUUGACGAGUCACACUCCUCGGCAUUGGAAUGCAAAGUGGGUGGUAAAUUCCAUGUAAAGGUAAAUAUAUUAUUGAGACUGAUAGCAAACAAGUACCAUGAGGGAAAUAUGAAAAGGACUUUGAAAAGAGAAUUAAAAGAGUCUGCAUUUGCUGAACAGAAAGCAAACAGAAUUGAUCUUACUUGGUGAGAUUGUUGUGCCCACUUUGGCAUUUAUAUGUUGGAUGUGGGUGCGAUGGUUCUUGCCUUGAAUGUCAGCUUCUAUUUCUGCAAAUCAUCACCCUUGCACAUGAAUGGUAAUUUGCCUGCGGGUAUUGGAAUGCAUGUGUUUGCGAUGAUUUGUGAUUUGAUAUGUGUGCUUGGUGUUACUUGUGUGUUGCUCUCUUGUCAACGGGGAAGGCUGUCUUCCUUGAGCACCACAAGCCCAAACACAUUACUGCUGGCAAAAUGUUUCUGCUUGACCCGUCUUGAAACACGGACCAAGG